GUAUAGUCCUACCCUCAAAUAUUCUACAUUUUGCCAUUUACCCUCCAGAAUGAUGCAUGACCUGGAUGUCAAAGUCAUUGUCUACUCCCACUUUGGCAAGAAGUUCCCUAAGACUCACAAGAUAAGCCCUUCUUCCAGAUGGGACUACAGCUGGCCUACCACAGCCAGAAGAUGCAGCAGAUUUUCCUGAGUGCUCCACUGCUGAAAGUAUCCUUCCGUCUCAUGUCGUUCUUGCCAACAAUCCAAACCAUACAAUAGAACCGAUUUGAAAUCGCUUUUGUAUAGGUGGAUAUUUGUUGAGAGGCUGCUCUGCUCAGACCUCCAGAUGGGAUGAGUUGGGCAAAUACACACAACGUUUUGAGAUCUUCCAGCUCGGAGAACAGGCUCCACUGAUGUGGUAUUGGUCAUAAUCCAGUUAAUGGUGAUAAGGAAGAGGAUCUGAGAGAUGAAGGAACCAUGUCUCACUCCAGACUUCACAGGGAAUGACUCAGACUUGCCCAUAAUGACUGCAUUUCCAUACGAUUUUUACAAUCUUGAAUAGUAUGCAUUGAAUUGGUUCUUAAGAUCUUCCAUAGUGUCACCAUCUAAACGACCAACAGCCUUGAGGUCUAUGAAGUGAGAUUUGCGUAAGUGGGGCAGAGGAGGUUCCUAAGCGGAGGACCAUCCUUUUUAAAAAUAGUGAAACAUUUAAAGUUAUCCUUUUUAGAUAAAACUAUACUACAUAUAUUUACGUCACCAUAUAACUGAUUAAAACGCGCUCCUCAGGACCUACCCCUCCCAGUCCACCAGGUACUGGAGCCAACCCCCAUGAUGUCGGUAGUCCAGGAGGGACCUAACAGCAUAGGCGGUGGUCCCCUCUUGGCAGUGACUCCUUAGGAACCUCCCCAGCUCCUGGUUGGUCCUAUUCACCUGCCCGUUGGACUGAGGCCGGUACCUGGAUGUGAGGCUGACCGUGGCCCCCAGCUUCUACAUAAAGGCUUUCCAGACCCGCAAAAUUAUUUGGGGACAACGGUCGGAAACGAUGUCCUCCGGAAGGCCAUAGUGCUGGAAUACUACCUCAGCCACCUGGAGAGCGGUAGGUAGACCCGAGAGAAAAUGGCAGGAUGUAGAGAAUGUCAACAACAACCAUGAUAGUGGUAAAACCAUCAAAGGGGGAGAUCAGUUAUAAAGUCUAUAGACAGAUGUGACCAAGGUGGCUGAGGAACGGGAAGGGGAAUUAUUUCCCUGCUGGGGAGAUUUGGAUUGGGUACAUAUGGAGCAUGACUUGACAUAGUGGGUGACAUA
rnacentral:lncRNA from 1 species